ACCUAGUAUCUCUAAAUAGGAGUGUGCACGAAUACCGGGUAUACCCGGAACUGAUCGGAACUUACCCGUUAUGGUACAGUCCGGGUAUCUCGUAUUAAAAAUAGAGUAGGGUCCGGGUAUUAAAAUAAAAACCGCAACCAGUAUCCGAAUCCGGAUAAUAGUUACAGAUUAAAAAAAAAAAAAACUCCGACAGUCUAAAAUAACUAAACCUAAGUUCAAACAGUAACCCCUCCAACCUCCAUCGUUCUCACUUCUCUUCUCUGUGACUCUUCUCCAAUCUCCGUUUCUCUUGCUCGAUUUCUGAGUUGAGCUCCAAUCCAACCCAGGCAUCUCCAAUCUCCAUCUUCUCGCUCUCGCUCUCUAUUUUCGACCCUCUAUUCGCUAUCUACUCCAACCAUAGCCUCCCCACCGUCUCCGACAAGGAACAAGCAGCUAAGGAAGCAGCAGCGGCAGUAGCCAGUGAAGCUUGUGCUGCCAAUAUCAAAGGCACUCCAGAGGAAUUGCAAGCUGCACAGGAACUUUCUGCAGCUACUGUAGGGUCUCUUGCAAAAGCUAAAAAGGACAAGCAACAAAAAUGACCUACUGAAGCAAAAAACACGACUCCUGCUAAAACUGCUGCAAAAGCCACCCUCCAAAUGCUUAUUAAAAGGUCUCUUGCUACACACUCCAAAAAAAAA